ensembl:snoRNA small nucleolar RNA SNORA84
GCCUGGUGGUUCCUAUAGACAGCUCUAAAGUGCUGAUCUGUGGGUUUUGAUUGGCAGGCACAUAUUGACUCUGCGAUUUUAUGCAUGGGAGCUGUCACCAUAGCAGUCUUCCAUAGCCCGGUUGCAGAAACAUUU